rnacentral:rRNA from 1 species
CCUACGGGAGGCAGCAGUGAGGAAUAUUGGUCAAUGGGCGCGAGCCUGAACCAGCCAAGUAGCGUGAAGGAUGACUGCCCUACGGGUUGUAAACUGCUUUUAUACAGGAAUAAAGUGAGGCACGUGUGCAUUUUUGUAUGUACUUUAUGAAUAAGGAUCGGCUAACUCCGUGCCAGCAGCCGCGGUAAUACGGAGGAUCCGAGCGUUAUCCGGAUUUAUUGGGUUUAAAGGGAGCGUAGAUGGGUUUUUAAGUCAGUUGUGAAAGUUUGCGGCUCAACCGUACAAAUGCGAUUGAUACUGGCAGCCUUGAGUACAGUUGAGGUAGGAGGAAUUGGUGGUGUAGCGGAGAAAUGCUUAGAUAUCACGAAGAACUCCGAUAGCGAAGGCAGCCUACUAAACUGCGACUGACAUUGAUGAUCGAAAGUGUGGGUAUCAAACAGGAUUAGAU